AUAUUAUAAUUGCCUAGAUAAAUUCAAGUUACUUAAUAAGGUGAAGAUACAGUUUCAAGCAUCACCGUUUAAUUUCCCGUUAAUUGUUCGUAGAAAUAUUUCUUCAUUUCGUGUCAGUGAGCUUGGCAAAACGUGUACGUCUUCAAACGGAGCAUAAUUCAAUGAACGCACCGUAUAAUAAAAUAAGUGCAGUCGCAUGAAAAUGCAACAGCCCCCGUUGCACUUUAAUUCAACGAGAAACCACUUGUUCUCGGUGGAACUGUUCGACUGUAAUAAUUCGGUCUGCUUGAAACUUUCCAAAACUUGUACAACUAAAGUCAUAUAUAUUUAUUAAAUACAGUAUUUAAUAUAUUUUAUUUAGUAUGUAUAGUAUUUACUAAAUAUUUAAAAAAGAAGUAUUACACUGUGUUUAUUUAUCAGCAUAAAUAUUUUUGAUGAAGCAGUCAUCGAUAUAUCACGAAGAAAGAUUGUCAGGGGUCAUCUUAAUCGCUUAUCAUACCAGCAGUUAACACACCACAAAAAGUACAUAUAUGUAUCAUUUGUAUUUUUCAAAUGUUUCUUUCUCCCUUCUUGCCAUGGAUGACGUCAUCGUUCACAGGGUCAUUUGUGCACAAAGGGGGUCCCUGUCACUUAAGGACUGAGUCAUUCUGUAGGAAAGCUUAAAAUAUCUUCCUGGUUUUUCGUGACACGAGAAAAUAUCUCAAGAAUAAAAUAUUUCUUCUCAAGGAGACACACAUGAUACGUUUCAAACUAUAAUUAACCCUUGAAUAGUGGAGCCUGACUCAAUCGUGACCCAAACUUACAAACCAUACAAACCUCGCGUGGCAAUGCAACCCUUUCGUAGACCGAGUAGGGUGGAGUAGUUCGACGAAAGGGAAUGAAAUACACCGCAUACACACUUCUAUGCAAAAUAGAUGUAUUUCUGGUAGAAUUAGUACGAACCGUGUUCCACUUCGAAAUAUAUUUUUAGCAACGCUGAAGUUUGAAAAAAAAAAAGAGGAUAUCGAUGAAAAACGGAUUAACUCUUUCUAUUGGUUUAUCGAUUGUCACAGAGGCGCUGGUACAUUCGACGAGAAAGUGUUGAGUAAA